rnacentral:rRNA from 1 species
UACGUAGGGGGCAAGCGUUGUUCGGAAUCACUGGGCGUAAAGGGCGUACAGGCGGCCAUAUAAGUCGGUUGUGAAAUUCUCGGGCUUAACCUUAGAUCUGCACUCGAUACUGUAUGGCUUGAGAUCAGGAGAGGAGAGUGGAAUAUGUGGUGUAGCGGUGAAAUGCGUAGAUAUCACAUAGAACACCGGUGGCGAAGGCGGCUCUCUGGCCUGAUUCUGACGCUGACGCGCGAAAGCUAGGGUAGCGAACGGGAUUAGAUACCCCCGUA